rnacentral:rRNA from 1 species
ACGGAAGGCAGCAGUCGGGAAUAUUGCGCAAUGGAGGAAACUCUGACGCAGUGACGCCGCGUGCAGGAAGAAGGUUUUCGGAUUGUAAACUGCUUUAGACAGGGAAGAAGAAGUGACAGUACCUGUAGAAUAAGCUCCGGCUAACUACGUGCCAGCAGCCGCGGUAAUACGUAGGGGGCAAGCGUUAUCCGGAUUUACUGGGUGUAAAGGGAGCGUAGACGGCAAAGCAAGUCUGAAGUGAAAUCCCGGGGCUCAACCCUGGAACUGCUUUGGAAACUGUUUAGCUAGAGUGCAGGAGAGGUAAGUGGAAUUCCUAGUGUAGCGGUGAAAUGCGUAGAUAUUAGGAGGAACACCAGUGGCGAAGGCGGCUUACUGGACUGUAACUGACGUUGAGGCUCGAAAGCGUGGGGAGCAAACAGGAUUAGAUACCCUGGUA